GUAAAGAUAUACAAAGUAUAUAACACAAACAUUCUGAUAACAAGCGUAAAAUGUUUAGAUAGAAACAUAAACCUGAAGAGAAACAAGAAAAGCUACAAAGCAGUUCUCAGUCCAAGAAUUAAACUUGAUGAACCUCUAUCAGGUUUACAGGAGAUGCACAGGUGGCUAAAAAUCAGACAAGUGUGCCUGCUCACUUGUAAAAGCCAGCAAGCCCACCUGACUAAUAUUUGUUUCAAUAAUGAUCCUUCCGCAGGUUCACCUACGGAAA
rnacentral:misc_RNA from 1 species